rnacentral:rRNA from 1 species
CCUACGGGAGGCAGCAGUGAGGAAUAUUGGACAAUGGGCGCAAGCCUGAUCCAGCCAUGCCGCGUGCAGGAAGACGCAUCUAUGGUGUGUAAACUGCUUUUGUACAGGAAGAAACACUCCCUCGUGAGGGAGCUUGACGGUACUGUAAGAAUAAGGAUCGGCUAACUCCGUGCCAGCAGCCGCGGUAAUACGGAGGAUCCAAGCGUUAUCCGGAAUCAUUGGGUUUAAAGGGUCCGUAGGCGGUUUAAUAAGUCAGUGGUGAAAUCUGGUCGCUCAACGAUCAAACGGCCAUUGAUACUGUUAGACUUGAAUUACUAGGAAGUAACUAGAAUAUGUAGUGUAGCGGUGAAAUGCUUAGAUAUUACAUGGAAUACCAAUUGCGAAGGCAGGUUACUACUAGUGGAUUGACGCUGAUGGACGAAAGCGUGGGGAGCGAACAGGAUUAGAUACCCUGGUAGUCCACGCCGUAAACGAUGGAUACUAGCUGUUGGGCGCAAGUUCAGUGGCUAAGCGAAAGUGAUAAGUAUCCCACCUGGGGAGUACGUUCGCAAGAAUGAAACUUAAGGAAUUGACGG